rnacentral:rRNA from 1 species
CCUACGGGAGGCUGCAGUGGGGAAUAUUGCACAAUGGGGGGAACCCUUAUGCAGCGACGCCGCGUGAGUGAAGAAGUAUUUCGGUAUGUAAAGCUCUAUCAGCAGGGAAGAAAAUGACGGUACCUGACUAAGAAGCACCGGCUAACUACGUGCCAGCAGCCACGGUAAUACGUAGGGGGCAAGCGUUAUCCGGAUUUACUGGGUGUCAAGGGAGCGCAGACGGAUUUGCAAGUCUGGGGUGAAAGGCGGGGGCCCAACCCCCGGACUGCUCUGAAAACUGUAAAGCUGGAGUGGAGGAGAGGUAAGCGGAAGUCCUAGUGUAGCGGUGAAAUGCGUAGAUAUUAGGAGGAACACCAGUGGCGAGGGCGGCUUACUGGACUGCAACUGCCGUUGAGGCUCGAAAGCGUGGGGAGCAAACAGGAUUAGAUACCCGGUAGUC